UACGUAGGGUGCGAGCGUUAAUCGGAAUUACUGGGCGUAAAGCGUGCGCAGGCGGUGAUGUAAGACAGAUGUGAAAUCCCCGGGCUCAACCUGGGAACUGCAUUUGUGACUGCACGGCUGGAGUGCGGCAGAGGGGGAUGGAAUUCCGCGUGUAGCAGUGAAAUGCGUAGAUAUGCGGAGGAACACCGAUGGCGAAGGCAAUCCCCUGGGCCUGCACUGACGCUCAUGCACGAAAGCGUGGGGAGCAAACAGG
rnacentral:rRNA from 1 species